AUUGAACGCUGGCGGCAUGCUUUACACAUGCAAGUCGAACGGUAACAGGCCGCAAGGUGCUGACGAGUGGCGAACGGGUGAGUAAUGCAUCGGAACGUGCCCAGUCGUGGGGGAUAACGCAGCGAAAGCUGCGCUAAUACCGCAUACGAUCUAUGGAUGAAAGCGGGGGACCGUAAGGCCUCGCGCGAUUGGAGCGGCCGAUGUCAGAUUAGGUAGUUGGUGGGGUAAAGGCUCACCAAGCCAACGAUCUGUAGCUGGUCUGGGAGGACGGCCAGCCACACUGGGACUGAGAAACGGCCCAGAAUCCUACGGGAGGCAGCAGUGGGGAAUUUUGGACAAUGGGCGCAAGCCUGAUCCAGCAAUGCCGCGUGCAGGAAGAAGGCCUUCGGGUUGUAAACUGCUUUUGUACGGAACGAAACGGUCCUGGUUAAUACCUGGGGCUAAUGACGGUACCGUAAGGAUAAGCACCGGCUAACUACGUGCCAGCAGCCGCUGUAAUAC
rnacentral:rRNA from 1 species